GUUGUGCUGAGGCCUACCAGGCGACGACGGGUAGCCGGCCUGAGAGGGCGACCGGCCACACUGGGACUGAGACACGGCCCAGACUCCUACGGGAGGCAGCAGUGGGGAAUAUUGCACAAUGGGCGAAAGCCUGAUGCAGCGACGCCGCGUGAGGGAUGAUGGCCUUCGGGUUGUAAACCUCUUUCAGCAGGGAAGAAGCGAGAGUGACGGUACCUGCAGAAGAAGCGCCGGCUAACUACGUGCCAGAGCCGCGGGCCGA
rnacentral:rRNA from 1 species